rnacentral:lncRNA from 10 species
GCCUCCUGAGUAGCUGGGAUUACAGGCGCCCACGACCACACCCGGCUAAUUUUGUAUUUUUAGUAGAGACAGGGUUUCUCCAUGUUGGUCAGGCUGUUCUCGAACUCCCGACCUCAGGUGAUCCGCCUGCCUCGGCCUCCCAAAGUGCUGGGAUUACAGGCAUGAGCCACCGCGCCCUGCCCAGUAAAAGUAUCUUAAACAAAAGUAAGACUUGCUAUGUAAAUGUAAAUGUUAAGUCAAUAUCUUCCUUAUCCUCAAAGUUUCUAGUGGUUUAGAGAAAGAGAUGUCCUUAGAAAUGGAGAUUUCCUUUAUAGAUGUCCAUGUCUUUUACAGAGUCUCAACAUAGCCAGCUAAACAUCAGAAAGUUGCAUUCUGGCAGACCCCUUUAGUGAACAGGGCACAGAAAGCAUCUGCAGCGUUCAGGAGCUGCUGUUUAAAUAUGCGAAGAGCAGGCACAGCUGGAAGGCACAGCAUCCAGAUCUUUAAGUAUCCAGGAUCCCAUCUUUACACCAAAUCCCCAGUCCCCCAAGAGAAGAAACCCCAUGGGACCGGGCCACACGGUGUUUCCACAGUGUGCCACGCUACGAAGACAUUCUCCCAAGGCUGGUGGGUGACCCAACACCAAUCAGCCCACCCCGUGAUCAGCCCGUCACCCCAGGAGUCUUUUACCUUGGUGGCAAGACUUCCCAUAGCCUCCAGGGGCCCAAACUGCACCUUUCUUAUCUAAAUGCACAGAGAAACAAGUAGCCCCUGCCAUAAUAACCAUUCACUACAGCCGCUGCCAGCUACCUCCCAGUGACUUUGGGGAUGGGCUUUCGCCAGUGACUUGUCAGCCAUGGCACAUGAAGGUCAAGUUCUCUCUCAUAGUACAAAGUAAUCCCUGGAACGCGCAAAGCCAAAGAGAUCAGGUAACGCAAUGCAAAAGACAGCAGAGCUUUCGGCCUGAGAGGGGCCUGCCCAGGACUCUCGAGACUCCGUGAGAAAGGCAGAAGGCCCCCAAAACAGGGUGUGCGUGGCCGUUUUCUGUGUUCCUCAAGAGGUCUCAGGCUGCUAGAAGUCUCCUAUGUGGUACUGAAGAUGGUACAAGGCAGGAGAAGCACAAGCAGAGGAAAACGGAAGGCGUCACAGAGGAGCCGGUUCUCAAGAUUUUAGGCUUUCUAAAAGAUAAGUGGGAGUUACAGAAAUGUUCUCCUGUGAGGGGUGUCCUGUGAGGCCACCGCGCACCCAGGACAACAGUUCUGACAUCUCUGCCAAGUCUCUGGUUGCCCAGAGCACCUGCAUGGGUCGCAGACAGCAACCGACUCUUCUCUUUGGGGUGAGGCAACUCACCCUCAUGCACCUUCCCACAUAGGACAGACAGGAACUGGCCCCAAAUGAAAAGACAAGUCUGAACUACAGGCAACGGGGAGCAGUUGAAAUUGUUGUUGUUGUUAUUAUUAUUAUUAUUAUUAUUAUUAUUAUUAUUUUGAGACAGAGUCUCGCUGUGUUGCCCGGGCUAGAGUGCGAUGGCACCAUCUUGGCUCACUGCAACUUCUGCCUCCUGAGUUGAAGCGAUUCUCAUGUCUCAGCCUCCCGAGCAGCUGGAAUUACAGGUGCGUGCCACUGUGCCUAGCUAAUUUUUUUAUUUUGGGUAGAGAUGGGGUUUCGCCAUAUUGGCUAGGCUGGUCUUGAACUCCUGACCUCAGGUGAUUCAUCCACUUUGGCCUCUCAAAGUGCUGAGAUUACACGCAUGAGCCACCGCGCCCAGCCCAGCAGUUGCAAUUUUUAAAGCUUGCUGUGUAACUUUAGGCCCAAAGAUGUGAAACCACCAGUGCCAGACUGGUGCCCAUACCAGGCCCUAAACCCGUUGCCCUGAGGCAGUGGCAGAGAAGGCGGAGUUCUCUGUUUAUCUGAGUCCCCUGUCCAAAGACAGAGACUGAAGCCCUCUUUCUGUUAAAAGCAGGUUUAAAAAACACUCCAAAUAAAAUCUAGAUGUCAACCAAAAAGAAAACAAAGCUCUGAAUUCAGGAGGACUCACC